CGCUGGCGGCGUGCUAAUACAUGCAAGUCGAACGCACUCUCGUUUAGAUUGAAGGAGCUUGCUCCUGAUUGAUAAACAUUUGAGUGAGUGGCGGACGGGUGAGUAACACGUGGGUAACCUGCCCUAAAGUGGGGGAUAACAUUUGGAAACAGAUGCUAAUACCGCAUAAAACCUAACACCGCAUGGUGUAGGGUUGAAAGAUGGUUUCGGCUAUCACUUUAGGAUGGACCCGCGGUGCAUUAGUUAGUUGGUGAGGUAAAGGCUCACCAAGACCGUGAUGCAUAGCCGACCUGAGAGGGUAAUCGGCCACACUGGGACUGAGACACGGCCCAGACUCCUACGGGAGGCAGCAGUAGGGAAUCUUCCACAAUGGACGAAAGUCUGAUGGAGCAACGCCGCGUGAGUGAAGAAGGUUUUCGGAUCGUAAAACUCUGUUGUUGGAGAAGAAUGUAUCUGAUAGUAACUGAUCAGGUAGUGACGGUAUCCAACCAGAAAGCCACGGCUAACUACGUG
rnacentral:rRNA from 1 species